rfam:Stegodyphus mimosarum contig113435, whole genome shotgun sequence.
GCCUUCGUAGUGUAAAGGUUAACACGCUCGGCGCGUAUCCGAGAGGUCCAAGGUUCGAGUCCCAGCGAGGGCA